CCAGAUCUCUUUAUAGUUUGUCAAACUUUGGGUCAUUUUUUUGCAGUUGUGCAUGUACAAUUAGUUAUGAUCCAUAAGGACAACUCAAAUGUGGUUUCCUAUAUCCAUCACCAGAGGGUACUCAAGUUUCCACAACCUUAUCUGCUUUUUCUGGGCCCAUUCUCUACAAGUCUAACUGGUGGCUUGUCACUUUCCAGGUGCCCUGAAUCUUGUCACAGAUUGUCUCUUGGGGUCCAACAAGAUUCUUUCCAUGGAGUUGUCCCUCAAUCUUCAGGUUCUCCAGUGGCUUUGCUCUUGUUUGGGCACCCUCCUCAUUGUUGUCUUUGCUACUAACCAAAAUGUUAAUAAAAUGUGGUAAAAUAAUUAUUAACAGUAAAGAGACCUAGGAAACAUUCAUAAUUAUGGCUUGUUCUCUGGAAAGUCCCAGUAUGGGCAUUCUUCAAGCUGUAUGGAUUUACAUUAAAAGUGGUGAUGUCAAAAGACAAGUAAACACCUUGGCUGAAUUGGAGAGAGUAAUGCAAGACAUUUGCAGCAAUAUUACACAAUUGUACAUUGAUAAUUUUCAUUUCAGCAUGAAAACAAAAUGUAAUGCUUUGUGUAGAGCAGAAAGCUCACAUACAAGAGCAUUGUACAUCAUAUUCACUUUUCAUGUGUAUUUUCUUGGUAUUAUUCUGCACCAUUAAUAAAUUCAUCAUCUAGUUCCCAUUGCAUGUUGUUUGUGACUCGUGCAAGUGUAUCACUUGGGUGUUUCCAUACUUAUUUCCAUUACUUUAUAUCACUUAUAAGGCUAUAACAUAUAUUUACUCUAGUUAAACAGAACAUUAACCCUUAGAACUUGCAUUUUGAAAACCAGCAGUAUCACAUAUAACAGCUAUAUGAAAUAUACUUAUACAAAAUCACACUCACCCAGAAAACUUUAUGGAAAUAUUAAUAACCUCUAAAUGAAAAUGAUUAGAUAUUGCCUUUUUCUGAGUAUCCACAUCCAGUCUUUGUAUUAAAAAUAUACUCUAGUUAGAAAUAUUGAAAUGACAUUAAACUAAUUUCUCUCUUAGACCAAGAAAAAGUGGAGAAAAUUUGUUUAGCUUAUUAAAUAAUUAAGUUAAUUCUAUGGCUGAAAUAGUGAGGUGAAGCUAGAAAGUACAUUGGUAAUGAUCAGUCAAAAUAUUAUUGACUUUUGUAAUCUUUUGGUUCAAUAUUGGAAGUUGAUAUGGUGAAAAGUGUUGUAUCACCAAUAUACAACAAGAUGUUGGGUCCAAGGAGUAAUACAACUGACUAUACUUAAGUCAUGAAGAGUAAAACAUUGAUAUCAGGAUGUCCCCCAUUACAGAGUACCUUCAGUUUUGGUUCUUCUGAGCAAAAGGUUUACUGAUGUAUAACCAGAAAAAGUAUUUAUUUGUAUACCAACGGGGCAAAAGAUUAUUCUCUUAUUGACACUGCCCAUGCUCCAACUAUAGUCGAGAGAGAUUUAUACAGAUCUAAGUCCUCUCUCAAGAAGUGUUACCUAACUAAGCGAUCACAACAAAAUUCGCUGGAGGUUAAACUGUCUCUGCCAAAGAUAAUGUUAUAUCACCUGCAGGCACCUGUUGACAUAAAUAAUCAGUGAUAAAGAAUAGAAAAGGAAAAUAAAACAUUAAAGAUAUAUCAUAAGUGAAAAUGUAAAGACGUGAAACUAUACAUAUGACCCAAAGAAGAUAUUCUAAGGUGAUUCAAUGAAGAGUUGAAAGGAUAUGGUCCCAUUAUCCAUGAGCUAUGACAAGCUAAAGAAAUUAGAAAGAAAUGCAUGUCUGCAAUUAGGUGGAAUUUACUUCCUUCUGUGGCCUCUAACUGUUGAAGAGACUUAGAACUUAGGGGCUCUGAAUACUACAUGCAGACUUCCUGAAGUGUCAAGCGUACAUCUAAGGAAGAAGGGAUAAGUUUUCAACGUUUUUGCAAAGGUAAAUAUUUGCAUGUCUGAAUACUACUGGCAAGGAAACCAGAAUGCAUGGGGUGAAUUACUGUGUGGUCCAUGAUUUUAAUGUCUAGAAAGCCUGCAGAAAGAAUAUUUUCUGCACCUUUUCAACUAAAAAUCAAAGAGUAUCAAGGACCUAUACCAGAUGCCAGCCUUUACUUACCCGACAUCAAGUCAGCACUCAUAAGAUGAAAAUUCCUUGACUGGCACUGUCAGUGACGAGAGGAAGGGUACAUCUUUGACUUUCAAAAAUAGAUGUACAGGUAUUGCCAAUCAGAUGUAGACAUACUUCGACAGAGCUGUCUUCAAUUCAGUGAAAAGUUUUCUCACAACUAGUAACAUAGACUGCUUCAGGUACACAACCAUUACUUCUAUAUGCAUGUCUGUAUACAGAAGUAAAUUUAUACCACCACAGUUGAUAGGUAUCAUACCUAACCAUGAAUAUUUUACAUCCAACAGUUAUAGCCAGGUAAUUAUCCAUUUCAAAUACAGAUAUCUGAGGGGGGGGUCAAGAUCUCACAUGACUUAAUGGUGGUGAGAAACAAAAUCUUGAAUUAUAGAGUAAACGGUUUCUGUAAAGAACAUAUUCUGCAGUCUAUGAAUUUUAUGGAUGUUAUUACUAUAGCUGUAAUACAUGUUAUGAUUCUGAUACAUGGCAUGUACUUCUAAAUGGACCCAUGUGGUUUGCUAGAUAGUGUACCUUAGAAAGACAGCAACAAAAUCUCCAAGCUCAGGGGUACAAGGUCAUAUUCAUAUUGCAACAGGAAAUUAAGAAGAUAAGGCUAACGAUUUUGACUUGAUUAAUUUCCUUGGGAACAACACAGUAGUUUCCUGCUUGGAUAUACAAAUACCUUCUAUGGAGGAAGAGUCGAUGCAAAGGAUGUAAAGGAAGGAGAAAAGAUCAAGUACAUAGACUUUUCAUCCCUAUAUUCACAGAUGAACAAGUACUGUGAUGAUCUGAUUGGACAUCAUAACAACAAAUUUAACUGAUUAAAAAAAAUUAUUUUGGUUUUAUGACAUGUAAAAUUCUAGCCCCAAGGAAACUCUACCAUCCUGUUUUACAUUUUAGAAGUAAUGGCAAAUUAACUUUUCCCAAGAUCACUACUACCAUGUAACCAAUGUGAUAAUGAGAGAGCUUUCAUCAGUGAAAAAAGCAGUUGAGUGUGGCUACCAGAUAAUGAAAAUACACGAGAUUUACCACUUUCCCAUUAAAUUCAGAAAUUUAAGAAUUAUCUUGAUACUUUUCUUAAAAUAAAGCAGGAAAGUUCUGGAUGACCCUCUCACUAUUUAUCAUUGCAGACAAAGCAUAAUUUCAUUGCUCAGUAUGCUGAAAAUGAAUGAGUACAACUGACCUCAGAAGACAUAGCUUUUAAUACAGGAAAAAGGUCAGUUGCAAAACUUUGUUUUAAUUCAUUUUGGGGACGUUGAGGUAUGUCUGAGGAGAAUCACAACUUACAUAUGUAACAUCUGUUAAAGGGUAUCAUUUUUUAAUGAACAAUAAUGCUAAGUAAUAACAGAUGUUACUUCAGUUAAUGAUGUAGUAAUUACUCUUCAUUGGAAACAUAAACAUGAGUAUCUGCCCUAGAAAGACCAAACCAACAUCUUUCUGGUAGCUUUCAACACUGCUCACACUCAUAAGAAAUUAUACCAUAUGCUUGAGAAGAUAUUACAAAACAGACAGUAUUGUUUACAUUAUCUUGGUGAAUUUAUAGACAAGCUCAAUGGUCGUCACAUUGUGGGUCAGUGAUUAUCCAAAGAACUAUGGAUACUUACAUGAUGAUGAGAAGUUUUGUUGUAAAUUUAGAGGGUUUACCCUUAAUUUUAUCAACAGUUAGAAAUUUAACUUCUCAACAGUGAAGAGUAUAAAAUAUCAAAUAUCUUCAAUCCUUUUCAGCAUCUGAUAAUGGUAACAAAUGCUAAGAAGAUAUGUAGAAAUUUAAAAACUCAGACCAUUUAUAACAAAUAAGAAAAACAAGAAUUAUUAUCUAGUUUACACUAAACAACACAUCCUUCCAGACUUCAAUGCUCUACCAUAUGGAUGUUGAAUUUUUCAUCUAAUGGAACAAACUUCUCAUCAUGGUCUAUGGACUGAAAAGGAAGAAUGUGCAGGGCCUUGGGAGAAGAUCCCAAAUGUGUUCAAACAUGAUUUUCAGAUCUAUAUUAGGGAAGUUCUGUUUCAUUUAUUUCUCAUUAAAGUUUGAGAUGUAUAACCAUCUACAACACCCUUUUAUGUUUUUAGUGUCAGGUUCAACAGGAAGUGGUAAAUCACAGUCUGUAAGCAAAAUUUUAACUUCAUGAUGUUAUCAAUCCUAUUCCUGAAAAUAUAGUGUGGUUUUAUAAUGAAUUUAAACCUCUAUGCACUGAAGUGGUGCAAAGUAUUUCUAGAAUUUAGUUUGUUGAAGGAUUGCUUUAAAAAUAUCAUGAUUAUGUACAGUCUGAUAAACCAAAUCAUUUCAUCAUUGAUGAUUUUAUAAGUGAAAAUGGAGAAAAUAAACGAGUGUCUCAACUUUUUACACAUGUAA